AAAACUAGCCAGUCUUUUGGGUAUGAAACCCAUUUGGGCGAGAAUAGUACUAGGAUGGGUGACCUCCUGGGAAGUCCUCGUGAAAGGCUUUC
rfam:Triticum aestivum genome assembly, contig: Triticum_aestivum_CS42_TGACv1_scaffold_131492_2BL